rnacentral:snRNA from 1 species
GGAUGUGAGGGCAAUCUGGCUGCGACAUCCCUCAUCCCAUUUAUCACCAGGGUUGAUUCGGCUGAUCUGGCUGGCUAGGCGGGUGUCCCCUUCCUCCCUCACCGUCCACGUGCGUCCCUCUGAAGCUGAGUGCUCGGUCCAAGAGGACGACCUUCCCCACUAAAGGAGGACUGUUCUUCUUCAAGGGUAUAAGAGUAGCUGCGCUCCCCUCCUAGAACCUCCAAACAAGCUCUCAAGAUUUACUAUAAAGCUACAGUGAGAUCAUGCGCUCUGGAUGUGUAAUUAUGCAAACAAACCAAUAAAACAGCAUU